rnacentral:rRNA from 1 species
CCUACGGGUGGCAGCAGUGAGGAAUAUUGGUCAAUGGACGAGAGUCUGAACCAGCCAAGUAGCGUGAAGGAUGACUGCCCUAUGGGUUGUAAACUUCUUUUAUAAAGGAAUAAAACGAGGCACGUGUGCCUUUUUGCAUGUACUUUAUGAAUAAGGAUCGGCUAACUCCGUGCCAGCAGCCGCGGUACUACGGAGGAUCCGAGCGUUAUCCGGAUUUAUUGGGUUUAAAGGGAGCGUAGAUGGGUUGUUAAGUCAGUUGUGAAAGUUUGCGGCUCAACUGUAAAAUUGCAAUUGAUACUGGCAGUCUUGAGUACAGUUGAGGUAGGCGGAAUUCGUGGUGUAGCGGUGAAAUGCUUAGAUAUCACGAAGAACCCCGAUUGCGAAGGCAGCUUACUAAACUGUGACUGACAUUGAUGCUCGAAAGUGUGGGUAGCAAACAGGAUUAGAUACCCUAGUAGUC